rnacentral:rRNA from 1 species
GGACGAUAAUGACGGUACUUUAGGAGGAAGCUCCGGCUAACUACGUGCCAGCAGCCGCGGUAAUACGUAGGGAGCGAGCGUUGUCCGGAAUUACUGGGUGUAAAGGGAGCGUAGGCGGGACUGCAAGUCAGAUGUGAAAUGCCGGGGCUUAACCCCGGAGCUGCAUUUGAAACUGUGGUUCUUGAGUGAAGUAGAGGCAAGCGGAAUUCCUGGUGUAGCGGUGAAAUGCGUAGAUAUCAGGAGGAACACCGGUGGCGAAGGCGGCUUGCUGGGCUUUUACUGACGCUGAGGCUCGAAAGCGUGGGUAGCAAACAGGAUUAGAUACCCUGGUAGUCCACGCUGUAAACGAUGAUUACUAGGUGUGGGGGGACUGACCCCUUCCGUGCCGCAGUUAACACAAUAAGUAAUCCACCUGGGGAGUACGGCCGCAAGGUUGAAACUCAAAGGAAUUGACGGGGGCCCGCACAAGCAGUGGAGUAUGUGGUUUAAUUCGAAGCAACGCGAAGAACCUUACCAGGUCUUGACAUCGUAUGCAUAAUCUAGAGAUAGAUGAAACCUCUUCGGAGGCAUAUAGACAGGUGGUGCAUGGUUGUCGUCAGCUCGUGUCGUGAGAUGUUGGGUUAAGUCCCGCAACGAGCGCAACCCUUACCUUUAGUUGCUACGCAAGAGCACUCUAAAGGGACUGCCGUUGACAAAACGGAGGAAGGUGGGGAUGACGUCAAAUCAUCAUGCCCCUUAUGACCUGGGCUACACACGUACUACAAUGGCAAUCAACAAAGAGAAGCAAGACAGUGAUGUGGAGCGAAUCUCAAAAAAUUGUCCCAGUUCGCAUUGC